UGGGGAAUAUUGGACAAUGGAGGAAACUCUGAUCCAGCAAUUCUGUGUGUGUGAAGAAGGUUUUAGGACUGUAAAACACUUUUAGUAGGGAAGAAAAAAAUGACGGUACCUACAGAAGAAGCAACGGCUAAAUACGUGCCAGCAGCCGCGGUAAUACGUAUGUUGCGAGCGUUAUCCGGAAUUAUUGGGCUUAAAGGGCAUCUAGGCGGUAAGACAAGUUGAAGGUGAAAACCUGUGGCUCAACCAUAGGCUUGCCUACAAAACUGUUGAACUAGAGUACUGGAAAGGUGGGUGGAACUACACGAGUAGAGGUGAAAUUCGUAGAUAUGUGUAGGAAUGCCGAUGAUGAAGAUAACUCACUGGACCGAAACUGACGCUGAAGUGCGAAAGCUAGGGGAGCAAACAGG
rnacentral:rRNA from 1 species